rnacentral:rRNA from 1 species
CCUACGGGGGUCAGCAGUAGGGAAUAUUGCUCAAUGGGGGAAACCCUGAAGCAGCAACGCCGCGUGGAGGAUGCAGGUUUUCGGAUUGUAAACUCCUUUUGUUAGAGAAGAUCAUGACGGUAUCUAACGAAUAAGCACCGGCUAACUCCGUGCCAGAAGCCGCGGUAAGACGGAGGGUGCAAGCGUUUCUCGGAAUCACUGGGCGUAACGAGCACGUCGGCGGGAUAGCAAGUCAGAUGUGAAAUCCUAUGGCUUAACCAUAGAAAUGAAUUUGAAACUGUUAUUCUAGAGUAUGGGAGAGGUAGGUGGAAUGCUUGGUGUAGGGGGAAAAUCCGUAGAGAUCAAGAGGAAUACUCAGGGCGAAGGCGACCUGCUAGAACAUAACUGACGCUGAUGCGCGAAAGCGUGGGGAGCAAACAGGAUUAGAUACCCUAGUAGUC